CCAGCCCAAGUUCAUCCGCGGCCCAGCAAAUCACCCAACAGACCAGCAGCAAAUGGCCGGCCUGCUUCCGCCUGAGCGGCCUGCAGUCGCUCGCUUCCUCCCCUGCUCGUCUCGGUCUCGCUUCCUCCCCCCGCAGAAACGCGCCGCUUCUCCCUCCCUCCGCUGCUCGGCAAAAAGGCUCGGCCGCUCGGCAACCCUAGCGGCUGGCGGCGCCGGCGGAGCCGGCGGCCAGGUGAGGCAGCGCAGGGCGCGGGCGGCCAUCUGGCACUCCUCCUUGCUACCAGAUCGAUGAAUCCCCAACACCCCAAGGCAAGGAGGGGUAGAGGGUGGACCGGUGGAGGGCGGAGGCCAGCGCGACGGCCGGUCAGUGCCCGAAGCAGUGCAAGCAGCAGCCAGGUCAGUUUUUCCCAAUCCGGCAAUCCCUAAUUGGUUAAUUCCCCAUGGCUAAAUGCUAAUUAUCUAUGCCCCAUUUUGUAGACUAGCAUUACUCAAUGAAGAGGACCAAGACAUUGAGAUCCUUUUUAUUCUCCUGCUCUUACGUCUAUAAUUCCCCCAAGGCAAUUAUCUCCACCAAGGCAACCAUCUGUAUCUGUUCAAGUUGGCUCUAAGCGUAGAAAUCCGCCAGCUCCGCCACUGCUGGUAGACCAUGGACUCCCCUGUUGACAAUAAUCCUUGCCUGCGUAAUACUAGUGAUUUACUCUCCUUAGAUUACUAGCUAUGUUUAGGAAAAUUAGCUGUAGUGUAAUCAGCCUGAUUGGAGGCCAUUUCUUCUUGCCAUGUAAUUGUCCAUUUAAGCAAAGGAAUAGACACAGGAAAAGCUGCCAAUUAAGCAGCACCAAAAUAAGAUCGUGUCCGGAGUGUUCGCGUGAGUAUUCUUGGGUUUGUGUGUUCGGCCGUGAUUCUGCCGGCAACGUGUGCGUUGUCUCUCCGGCGAGGUUCUAACAAGUGGCAUCAAGAGCCAUUAGUACCUACCUGGGACCAUGGGAGACUCGAAGAAGGUCGCAGACGGCACCAAGAAGGUAGCAGACGGCA
rnacentral:lncRNA from 1 species